GGGGAACCUGCCCCAUAGUCUGGGAUACCACUUGGAAACAGGUGCUAAUACCGGAUAAGAAAGCGGAUCGCAUGAUCAGCUUUUAAAAGGCGGCGUAAGCUGUCGCUAUGGGAUGGCCCCGCGGUGCAUUAGCUAGUUGGUAAGGUAAAGGCUUACCAAGGCGAUGAUGCAUAGCCGAGUUGAGAGACUGAUCGGCCACAUUGGGACUGAGACACGGCCCAAACUCCUACGGGAGGCAGCAGC
rnacentral:rRNA from 1 species